rnacentral:rRNA from 1 species
ACUUCUCUCGGGGAGUAUAUUACCUUGGUGUUCGAAUAACUGAAGGGGUUUGACUGGGCCUUGUAGCGUGUCAGCCUUUCUCUUAUGGGGAAGGGUCAUAUACGUUUUCAUGAUUCGGUCUUGCUUUGGAGGUGAUACCAAAUAGAACACUUCGCUUUUAUCUAUAGGUGCUAUAUACGUCCCGUCUUGAAACACGGACCGCGGAGUUUGGCUUAUAUGCAAGUAAAUCAAUUUUUAAAUUGAAUUGCGCAACGAAAGUGAUUAGAUCUUACAGGAUCGUCCUCUGUAGUAUUUGCGUACAUGAAAGCACUAUACGCAAUUUGCAAUGGAGAUCGAGCAUAUAGGCUAAGACCCGAAAGAUGGUGAACUAUACUCGAGUUGGUUGAAGUCAGGGGAAACUCUGAUGGAAGAUCUCAUACGUUGUUGACGUGCAAAUCACUUGUCUAAUUUGAGUAUAGGGGCGAAAGACUCAUCGAACCAUCUAGUAGCUGGUAGCGUUCGAAAUUUCCCUCAGGAUAGCUGGAAAUAAUAUAGUUUUAUGGGGUAAAGAUAUUGGUUAGUGGUAUUGGGGUUUGAUCGACCUCAACCAAUUCCCAAACUCUGAACAAGUAAGUUGUGACGUUAUUUUAUACUUUCGUAUAAACGUUACUUUAAAUUAUAUUUCCAAGUGGGCCGUGUUUUGGUAAGCAGAGCAGGCAAGGUGGGUUCAACCGUUAAUCGGUAGGAAAAGUGUCAAAUCUGUAUCUAAUCGAUUAAAAGGCGUUAACGCAUAAUGACAGCAGGACGGUGGCCAUGGAAGUCGGAAACCGCUAAGAAUCGUGUAACAACCUACCUGCCGAAUGAGUUAGCCCUGAAAAUUGAUGACGCUAAAAUACAGAACUUCUCCUACAUCGUUAUGCUUGUAUUUUAUAAAGCUUCGCAUAACGAGUAGAACGCUGAAAUAAUUGAAGCGAAGCCUUAACGUGAGUUUUGGUGGAUCGGUUAUUUUGUACAGAUCGCGGUAAAAGUAGCAAUUAUUCAAACGAGUCAGCAGAACGACUCGCAAGAGCGUGUGUUAAGCUUUGAAGACUGUCGUGGAGAAGGUUUCUCCUGAAUAAGCAAAUAACAGGAGGUUAGUCGAUCCUUAGUAAUACGUUAACUCGGUAAAUGACCACGACCCCCUUUUUAGUGGUCCUAUUACAAAAGGGAAUCAGGUUAACAUUCCUGGACUCUAAUGGGACAUUCCAUUGUGAUAGUUGCAAAACAUAAGGUCGGCUCUAGACGAGGCGGGACACACUUGUUCGAUCUAUCGAAUCCACUUAUGGUUCAAACGGGAUUAAUCCUAAUCGGAGUAGUCUGGAAUUAAUUAGCUUAGCGAAGGAGUACUCAAGAACCUAAAAGUGCAGCCUACGGCUGUGUAAGUCAGUGUUUUGCCUCUCAUAAAAAUAGAGUCGACUGGCCGGCCAACAAGGGGCAGGGACUCGCUUGCGGGUGCCUGUUUCUUGCGGAUCACAACCCAAAGAAUCGUACCAAUUUCCGCAGCAGGUCUCCAAGGUUAACAACCUCUAGUUACGUAGAAGAAUGUAUGGUAAGGGAAGUCGGCAAAAUAGAUUUGUAUCUUCGGGAUAAAGGUUGGCUCUUAUAAUGCUAUCUAGUGGGCUUAUGUAACGGCAAAGGAAUAAGGCGGCGGAGGAUUAGCUUCACGGCGAAGUCCAAUGUUGUCUUUUUUCUGCGUCCAGAUAACGCGCAAGGGAUGCUGGUGCGCCGGCGGACCUGGACACUAGGUAAAUUAUGCAUUGUUUAAGAACUUAUCAAAAUAAGGGGAAUCCAACUGUUUAAUUAAAACAUAGCAAAGAGAACAGCUUUAAAAAGGUAUAGCCUCUUUGUGAUUUCUGCCCAGUGCCUUGAAUGUCAAAGUGAAGAGAUUCAACCAAGCACAGGUCAACGGCGGGAGUAACUAUGACUCUCUUAAGGUAGCCAAAUGCCUCGUCAUUUAAUUUGUGACGUGCAUGAAUGGAUCAACGAGAUUCCUACUGUCCCUACUUACUAUCUAGCGAACCUACUGCCAAGGGAACGGGCUUGGGAUUGAUAGCGGGGAAAGAAGACCCUAUUGAGUUUGACUCUAGUCUGAUUUUGUAGAGUAACGGAGAGGAUGUAGAAUAGGUGGGAAAAGCAAUUUGUCAAUGAAAUACCACUACCUUUUAUUGUUACUUUACUCACUGAAUAAGUACUCAUUUUCUGAGUAGUAGAAAUCUGCGACAUCUGCGCAGUAAGAGGUUAUUCGUUUCGGGAAAGAAUCAGUUGGGGAGUUUGGCUGGGGCGGCACAUCUGUUAAAAUGCAACGCAGGUGUACAAAGGUUAACACAAGUGGGUCAGAAACCUACUGUAGAACAUAAGGGUAAAAGUUAGCUUGACUAAUAUUUCCAGUACAAGUAUUAGCCGUGAAAACGUGUCCUUAAGAUCCUUUAGUGAAUAUACUUUAUGUAAUGUUCCAGAAUUUGGAGCUAGAGGUGUCAGAAAAAUUACCAUAGGGAUUUCAAAUUCCAAUUUUUAAAAAACCAAUUAUAUUAAAAACCAAUUAUCGUUUUAAAAUAAUAAUAUAUAACUUCAAUUAGAGACUUUAAAUAAGAAAAAGUCCUUGACAUAGAACUGGCUUGUGGCUGCCAAGCGUCCAUAGCGACGUAGCUUUUUGAUCCUUCGAUGUCGGCUCUUCCUAUCAUUGUGAAGCAGAAUUCAUAAAGUGUUGGAUUGUUCACCCUCUAACAGGGAACGUGAGCUGGGUUUAGACCGUCGUGAGACAGGUUAGUUUUACCCUACUAUCAAGUACUUAGGUAUUGAUGAAUAAGCGCAAAGGUAAAUUAAAGGAUCCUAGUACGAGAGGAACCGAUUCU